rnacentral:rRNA from 1 species
UACGGGGGGAGCAAGCGUUGUUCGGAUUUACUGGGCGUAAAGGGCGUGUAGGCGGUCAGCACAAGUCAGUUGUGAAAUCUCCGGGCUUAACUCGGAAAGGUCAACUGAUACUGUGCGACUAGAGUGCGGAAGGGGCAACUGGAAUUCUUGGUGUAGCGGUGAAAUGCGUAGAUAUCAAGAGGAACACCUGCGGCGAAGGCGGGUUGCUGGGCCGACACUGACGCUGAGGCGCGAAAGCCAGGGGAGCGAACGGG